GGUGAAUGUCCAGCCGCAGCCGCCCAGGGGGCACUUGAAGGGCCUCUGGCCCUGGCUGCUGCUAUGCGUCAGCAGGUGCACCUUCAGCUGGUGCUUCUUGGCGAAGGUCUGCCCGCACUGCGCCUCCGGACACAGGGCUGAGGAAGAAUACCCAGGGAAAGACCAACUUGCAGUGGGGGCCCCUCCCCAAGGAUGGAUGGAGUUCACUCCUCAUUGGAGAAGGUGUAGGAGAUGCCACUGGACAGCAGAGAAGCUUGCUGGUUUGCCCGUGCCAGAGCUGGACUUAGAACCAUAGCUGGUCUACAGUUGCAGGCUGGUCUACCCGGCAGAGCAUCGUCCAUCGUCCAGUGAGAAAGCUCCAGCACGAAACUUAGCAAAGCACUUUUGACACGUUCGAUCAGUCACAGCACCUUCUCCAUACACUGCACAAGUCUUUUUGUCAGAGACAGAGGAGGACACACACAGGAAAUUCUGAAGAUCCAGGGGGCCAAGUGGUGAGAACCUGAGAGUGGCUUCUGAAAGCUGAAAUCAACACCAGCCAACAGUCAGCAAGAAACUAGGAACUCAGUUCUAUAACCACAAGGAAUGAAUUCUACCAAUAUCCUUGAAUGAGCUUGGAAGAGGGACCUGAGCACCAGAUGAGAACACGGCCCAGCUGACAUGUGGAUGACAGGCUUGUGAGUCCCUGAGCAGAAGACCCAGUCAAGCCCACCAGGUUUCUCCCUUAGAAGACUGCGAGACAAAGAAUGGGUGUACUGUUAAGCCUACUGUUUGUGGGUAAUUUGUAAUGGCUGCAACAGAAAACUAAUACACUGCACCAUUCCUCUAAAAUAAAAUAAUAAAAUAAAGUAAAUAAAAUGUUGGAGUUUCCUACACUGUAAUGCAAACUCACUUUGUGCAUAUCAUACACCUGCAGUACUUCUUAUCAUUGGUAUGGGACUUGGGGACAUU